AUGCCUACGGGGGGCAGCAGUAGGGAAUCUUCCACAAUGGGCGAAAGCCUGAUGGAGCAACGCCGCGUGGGUGAAGAAGGUCUUCGGAUCGUAAAACCCUGUUGUUAGAGAAGAAAGUGCGUGAGAGUAACUGUUCACGUUUCGACGGUAUCUAACCAGAAAGCCACGGCUAACUACGUGCCAGCAGCCGCGGUAAUACGUAGGUGGCAAGCGUUAUCCGGAUUUCUUGGGCGUAAAGGGAACUCAGGCGGUCUUUUAAGUCUGAUGUGAAAGCCUUCGGCUUAAACGGAGUAGUGCAUUGGAAA
rnacentral:rRNA from 1 species